rnacentral:lncRNA from 1 species
GUAGAUGCCCAAUAAACGUUUGCCGAAUGAAUGAUGUUACUCACCAGAUACCUUCUCUCCAAGACUAAGAGUUACCUGUUAAUUCAACAUUGAUCUGAGUACCUCCUGUAGGACAACUCCUAUCACCUCCUUGUUAGCUCGUUUGCCCCUGGAAAAACAUUCCUAUGCAAAUAAACCCAUAAGAGGAGCCCUGAGCCCGCCAACACAAAUAUUUCAUCACCAUAUUUAGUGGCUGCAUGAAGCUUGACUGCAGUGAUGUGCUGCAAUCAUCCUCUU